rnacentral:rRNA from 1 species
UUNUGAGGAUUACUCGGGGCUCAAGAUNGAACGGNGGCCNGCGGGCUUANCACAUAAAGUCAAGACGUUAACAAGAAGGCAGNGCGNGCUUCGCGGACGAGUGGCGGACGGGUGAGUAAUGUCUGGGAAACUGCNUGAUGGAGGGGGAUAAUAACUGAAAACGGUAGCUAAUACCGCAUAACGUCGCAAGACCAAAGAGGGGGACUUUCGGGCCUCUUGCCAUCGGAUGUGCCCAGAUGGGAUUAGCUAGUAGGUGGGGUAACGGUUCACCUAGGCGACGAUCCCUAGCUGGUCUGAGAGGAUGACCAGCCACACUGGAAUUGAGACACGGUCCAGACUCCUACGGGAGGCAGCAGUGGGGAAUAUUGCACAAUGGGCGCAAGCCUGAUGCAGCCAUGCCGCGUGUAUGAAGAAGGCCUUCGGGUUGUAAAGUACUUUCAGCGGGGAGGAAGGUGAUAAGGUUAAUAACCUCAGCAAUUGACGUUACCCGCAGAAGAAGCACCGGCUAACUCCGUGCCAGCAGCCGCGGUAAUACGGAGGGUGCAAGCGUUAAUCGGAAUUACUGGGCGUAAAGCGCACGCAGGCGGUCUGUCAAGUCGGAUGUGAAAUCCCCGGGCUCAACCUGGGAACUGCAUUCGAAACUGGCAGGCUAGAGUCUUGUAGAGGGGGGUAGAAUUCCAGGUGUAGCGGUGAAAUGCGUAGAGAUCUGGAGGAAUACCGGUGGCGAAGGCGGCCCCCUGGACAAAGACUGACNCNAGGUGCGAAAGNGNGGAGGCAAA